GAUGAACGCUGGCGGCGUGCCUAAUACAUGCAAGUCGAGCGAACAGAUAAGGAGCUUGCUCCUUUGACGUUAGCGGCGGGCGGGUGAGUAACACGUGGAUAACCUACCUAUAAGACUGGGAUAACUUCGGGAAACCGGAGCUAAUACCGGAUAACAUAUUGAACCGCAUGGUUCAAUAGUGAAAGGCGGCUUUGCUGUCACUUAUAGAUGGAUCCGCGCCGUAUUAGCUAGUUGGUAAGGUAACGGCUUACCAAGGCAACGAUACGUAGCCGACCUGAGAGGGUGAUCGGCCACACUGGAACUGAGACACGGUCCAGACUCCUACGGGAGACAGCAGUAGGGAAUCUUCCGCAAUGGGCGAAAGCCUGACGGAGCAACGCCGCGUGAGUGAUGAAGGUCUUCGGAUCGUAAAACUCUGUUAUCAGGGAAGAACAAAUGUGUAAGUAACUGUGCACAUCUUGACGGUACCUGAUCAGAAAGCCACGGCUAACUACGUG
rnacentral:rRNA from 1 species